rfam:Octopus bimaculoides Scaffold311877_contig_3, whole genome shotgun sequence.
AUCGCUUCUCGGCCUUUUGGCUAAGAUCAAAAUGUAGUAUCUGUUCUUAUCAGCUGAUACGGCCCCUAUUUGGGGUCAUCGAUAUUAAACUGUUUUUUAGAACGAGGCGAAGUGUUAGGGGCUUGCUCCGCUUUUGCGACAGGUUGGCCUGGUAUAGCAGUACUUCCAGGAUUCAGCCCAUAUUCA